GGGAUCUGAUCGAGGCGCUCCA
rnacentral:miRNA from 1 species